UCAUCCAACACCUGCAUAUUAUGUUUACAUUGAUACUUUGGUGAGAAUGGCAUGAAAAGAGGCAAAGUUUAUGACAAAGAAAAAGAAAAACAACCCAACUUCUUCUAUCUGCAGAGCAUUCCAGGUUCUCUUGAUGAAACUUGUGGAAGCUAUGCGAGGAAGAACGUGAAACUUUUGAAAGAAAAAUGAACCAAUGAACUGUAAAUGCUUAGAGCUUCAUUGGUUUGCUGUCUCUGUUACCAGCGAGGACCCAGCUUAUCUGAAUGGGUAAGGAGAAAACAGAAGGAGAAAUAUCGAAA